rnacentral:rRNA from 1 species
CGGCACGGGUGAGUAGCGCGUGGGAACCUGCCCUGUUGUGGGGGAGUAACCGAGGGAAACUUCGGCUAAUACCGCAUGCGCCCGGGUGAGCGAUCAUCCGGGGAAAGAUUUAUCGCAAUAGGAGGGGCCCGCGUCGGAUUAGCUUGUUGGUGGGGUAACGGGCCUACCAAGGCAGUGAUCCGUAGCUGGUCUGAGAGGAUGAUCAGCCACACUGGGACUGAGACACGGCCCAG